AUAAAAAAAUAAAUAAAUAAAUAAAUAAAUAAAUAAUUGUCUAUUUUAAUACUAAAAAGGAAAGAAAGAAGGAAGGAAGAAAAAAGAAUGAGAGAAAUAGAGAAAGAGGAAAAGAAAGAAAGUAAUGAAGGAAGGAAGAGAUAGAGAAAGAAAGAAGAAAGAAAGAAAGAAAAGAAGGAGGGUGGGAGGAAGAGAGGAAGGAAGGAAGGAAGGAAAGAAGAAAAAUAGGAAGAAGAGGGAAAAAAGGGCCUGAAAGAUGUGUUUAUAGUAGCACCACUGGGGGCAGUGGAAUGAAAUUGAGCAAAAUGUAAUGCAAGCUGGUUUUCCAGAAGAAAAAUCUUAAUAACCAGAUCCAUUGGUCUAUGGAUGGAGCCAUUGGAGGAAAAGUGAUAAGUUCCAACAUUUGAGACAUUUUAUGCUGAAAAUAUCUAGUAUCUGAAACAAACUGGGUGAAGGGAAAAAUGUUCUGUUGGCCAAGGAUUUCUGGGAUCCUACAGAUCUUUCCUCUAAUUUUUGGAUGCCACUAAAUUUUGUGAUUCAUAUCCAGAAAGCCCAGCUCUGAUAGGCCAGAAAUAUUAGAACCAAAUACAAAUAGUUUGCCACACAUCUUCUCCUUCCAUAGGUUUAGAGCUUUGAUUCUGUUUUGCUUCAGAAGCAGUUCAGGUCAUAGUCAAUGGACACAAAGAAGAUGCAUCUUCAAACCAGGAUAUGAUUGGGAAGACUAAAGACUUGCAAUUCUCCAGAGAACACUUAAGAUCAAUCCUCUUAGCAAUUCUCAAGUGUAUAAUACAGCAUCGUUAAUGGUAAUCACUGCACUAUGUAUUAGAUCUCCAGAGCUCAUUCAUCUUGUGUAACUGAAACUUGGGACUCUUUGAUCAACAACUUCCCAUUUCCUGCCAUCCCACUCCAUCCCCAUCCCUGGCAACCACAACUCUACUCUCUGCUUCUGUGAGUUUGCCUAUGUUGGAUUCUACAUGCAGAAGAUUGCAACCUCCCAUUAUGAAACAGCAUCAUAAAAUGCAGAGCACAGCUACCCUGACUAAAACCACCUUUCUCCUCUGCUGAUACAGACAAACUAGCAGUAAAUGCUUUUUGAGCUCCCGGCGUGCAGAUAAAUUCCUACGGACAUCCCCAAUUGGACUGAAAGAUUGAGACACACAAGGGAGAGAAUAGCUGAGGCCAGGAGAAUUUAACAUGGCAAUUAGCAACCCUUCAACUUUGCCAGACCCCACAGCACAAGACAGGAUGGAGGUAACCAAAAAUCUCUCCAGAAGAGUAGUUGAUAAAUUGAUUGGGUCCCAGGGGUUGCUGGACACAGUUAUUAUCCAAUUGCAGGCCUGGAUGGUGUGCAAGUCUAUGUAGUGAAGUCAGAAAAUGAAACAGGGCUUUAAAUUCCCAAGGGGAGCUCCUUUGCUUAUGUAUCCAUUGCUGCACCCUUUCCCCUCAUUUUGGAAGACUCUGAAUCACAUCACAUAGUGUGUAUUAUCUUCUCUAACUGAACAAACAAGUUCUAAAACAUAAAAUAUAUAAAACAACUGUAACCAUUAUCAUCAAUGAUUCUGUUCUUAAGAAGUUAGAAAAGUAAAAUAUAAAAUUAAAAUUGAAAAUAUUUAAAGACUUCCAGAAUUUUUUUUUUUUUUAAAGCAGAGGGAGGGUGUGUGGGGGAAGAGGAAUUUUAAUCCUCUUUCUGUAUCAAUUCUGAUGGCUGCUUUUAAGAAUUAUUUUAACCAUCA
rnacentral:lncRNA from 1 species